GCGAAGGUGGCGGAAUUGGUAGACGCGCUAGCUGCUUCAGGUGUUAGUGUCCUUACGGACGUGGGGGUUCAAGUCCCCCCCCUCGCACCA
rnacentral:tRNA from 1 species